rnacentral:rRNA from 1 species
UACGGAGGGGGCUAGCGUUGUUCGGAAUUACUGGGCGUAAAGGGCGCGUAGGCGGACAGUUUAGUCGGGGGUGAAAGCCCGGGGGCUCAACCUCGGAAUUGCCUUCGAUACUGGCUGUCUUGAGUCCGGGAGAGGUGAGUGGAACGUGCGAGUGUAGAGGUGAAAUUCGUAGAUAUUCGCAAGAACACCAGUGGCGAAGGCGGCUCACUGGCCCGGUACUGACGCUGAGGUGCGAAAGCGUGGGGAGCAAACAGGGAUUAAGAA